UGGGGAAUAUUGCACAAUGGGCGCAAGCCUGAUGCAGCCAUGCCGCGUGUAUGAAGAAGGCCUUCGGGUUGUAAAGUACUUUCAGCGGGGAGGAAGGGAGUAAAGUUAAUACCUUUGCUCAUUGACGUUACCCGCAGAAGAAGCACCGGCUAACUCCGUGCCAGCAGCCGCGGUAAUACGGAGGGUGCAAGCGUUAAUCGGAAUUACUGGGCGUAAAGCGCACGCAGGCGGUUUGUUAAGUCAGAUGUGAAAUCCCCGGGCUCAACCUGGGAACGGCAUCUGAUACUGACAAGCUUGAGGCUCGUAGAGGGGGGUAGAAUUCCAGGUGUAGCGGUGAAAUGCGUAGAGAUCUGGAGGAUUACCAGUAGCGAAGGCGGCCCCCUACACAAAGACUGACGCUCAGGUGCGAAAGCGUAGGGAGCAAACAGG
rnacentral:rRNA from 1 species